GAUGAAGAACGUAGCGAAAUGCGAUACUUGGUGUGAAUUGCAGAAUCCCGUGAACCAUCGAGUCUUUGAACGCAAGUUGCGCCCGAAGCCAUUAGGCCGAGGGCACGCCUGCCUGGGCGUCACACGUCGUUGCCCCCCCAUCUACUCCUUCGGGAUUGCGGGGGGUGGAUGAUGGCCUCCCGUGCGCCUCGUCGCGCGGUUGGCAUAAAUGCCAAGUCCUCGGCGACGCACGCCACGACAAUCGGUGGUUGCGAAACCUCGGUUGCCCGUCGUGUGCGGUCGUCGCGCAUCGAGGGCUCGAAAAAAUUGCCGCGCUCUGUUUCGGCUUUCAACGCGACCCCAGGUCAGGCGGGGUUACCCGCUGAAUUUAAGCAUAUCAAUAAGCGGAGGA
rnacentral:misc_RNA from 1 species